rnacentral:rRNA from 1 species
UACGUAGGUGGCGAGCGUUGUCCGGAAUUACUGGGUGUAAAGCGCGUGUAGGCGGGAGGCCAAGUCUGCUGUGAAAUCGCCCGGCUCAACUGGGCGGGGUCGGUGGAAACUGGUCACCUGGAGGACGGUAGAGGCGAGUGGAAUUCCCGGUGUAGUGGUGAAAUGCGUAGAGAUCGGGAGGAACACCAGUGGCGAAGGCGGCUCGCUGGGCCGGACCUGACGCUGAGACGCGAAGGCGUGGGGAGCGAACGGGG